AAAUGAAUUGACGGGGGCCCGCACAAGCGGAGGAGCAUGUGGCUUAAUUCGAUGCAACGCGAAGAACCUUACCAGGGUUUGACAUGCAACUGCAAGUCCAGUGAAAGUUGGAUUCCUUAGAGGGUGUUGCACAGGUGCUGCAUGGCUGUCGUCAGUUCGUGCCGUGAGGUGUUGGGUUAAGUCCCGCAACGAACGCAACCCUUGUGUCUAGUUGCCACCGUGGGUGAUGAGCCCACGAGCACUCUAUACAGACUGCCCGUGUUAAGCGGGAGGAAGGUGGGGAUGACGUCAAGUCCGUAUGGCCUUUAUACCCUGGGCUGCACACGUGCUACAAUGGCCGGUACAGAGGGAAGCUAAGCCGCGAGGUGGAGCCAAUCCCGCAAAACCGGCCCCAGUUCGGAUUGGAGUCUGCAAUUCGACUCCAUGAAGUUGGAUUCGCUAGUAAUGGCGCAUCAGCUACGGCGCCGUGAAUACGUUCCCGGGCCUUGUACACACCGCCCGU
rnacentral:rRNA from 1 species